AAUAAUGAAAAAGUUUCAUGUGAUAACUGGAAUUAUAAGUGAUUUCUAUUUGACAUUGUAUAUCUUGGUAAAAUUUGAAGUGAACUACUUCAUUUUUGGAGGACUUUUCCUACUUUUAUUUAAUAAGCAUUUUUAUCACAAAUUAAAGUUUUAAUGUACAUUUUAACUUUCUAUAAACCUGAAAAGGCAUUGCUUCAGAUAUGUGACUUAUUAAUAUUUUCUAUAUAUAAAUAAAAAUGUUUCCUGACCAAACCGGUUUUGCUCAGUGGAUAGAG